UACGAAGGGGGCUAGCGUUGCUCGGAAUCACUGGGCGUAAAGCGCACGUAGGCGGGUUGUUAAGUCGGGGGUGAAAUCCUGGAGCUCAACUCCGGAACUGCCUUCGAUACUGGCGACCUUGAGUCCGGGAGAGGUGAGUGGAACUCCGAGUGUAGAGGUGAAAUUCGUAGAUAUUCGGCGGAACACCAGUGGCGAAGGCGACUCACUGGCCCGAUACUGACGCUGAGGCGCGAAAGCGUGGGGAGCAAACAGG
rnacentral:rRNA from 1 species